rnacentral:rRNA from 1 species
UAGAGGAAGUAAAAGUCGUAACAAGGUUUCCGUAGGUGAACCUGCGGAAGGAUCAUUACCGAACUGUCAACACGAGUUGUUGCUGGUCCUCAAACAGGGACAUGUGCACGCUCUGUUUACACAUCCACUCACACCUGUGCACCCUCCAUAGUUCUGCAGCCUGGGGGCUCUGUCUCCCUGCCGUGGUUCUAUGUAUUUACACACACACUAAAGUCUCAUGGAAUGCAUACCGCGUUUAACGCAAUAUAAUACAACUUUCAGCAACGGAUCUCUUGGCUCUCGCAUCGAUGAAGAACGCAGCGAAAUGCGAUAAGUAAUGUGAAUUGCAGAAUUCAGUGAAUCAUCGAAUCUUUGAACGCACCUUGCGCCCUUUGGCUAUUCCGAAGGGCAUGCCUGUUUGAGUAUCAUGAACACCUCAACUCUCAUGGCUUUGCCGUGACGAGCUUGGACUUUGGGGGUCUUGCUGGCCUGUGGUCAGCUCCUCUCAAAUGAAUUAGCUUGCCAGUGUUUGGUGGCAUCACGGGUGUGAUAACUAUCUACGCUUGUGGUUUUCCACCAGGUAACCUUCAGUGAUGAAGGUUUGCUGGGGCUCAUAAAUGUCUCUCCUCAGCGAGGACAGCUCUUUGAAUG